rnacentral:rRNA from 1 species
CAGCAGCCGCGGUAACACGGAGGGAGCUAGCGUUGUUCGGAAUUACUGGGCGUAAAGCGCGCGUAGGCGGUUACUCAAGUCAGAGGUGAAAGCCCGGGGCUCAACCCCGGAACUGCCUUUGAAACUAGGUGACUAGAAUCUUGGAGAGGUCAGUGGAAUUCCGAGUGUAGAGGUGAAAUUCGUAGAUAUUCGGAAGAACACCAGUGGCGAAGGCGACUGACUGGACAAGUAUUGACGCUGAGGUGCGAAAGCGUGGGGAGCAAACAGGAUUAGAUACCCGGGUAGUCCCUGUCUCUUAUAC